rnacentral:sRNA from 1 species
UGAAAUGCCACACAAUAGUUCUAAAUUU